GUGUAGACUAUGGCUGAAAUUGAUAAGUUAUUAGGUUUUGAAUUGUCGAUCAUUUAGAAUAAAUUACAAAAUUGCAACGACUACAAUCGUGGCUUGCUAGUCACCAAAUUAUAAUCAUUGUAAUGGAAAAUUCACUGUAAAUUAGAACGGCAAUGCCAAUAAAUCUGUCCCAGUCUGUUUCAAAAAUGUAUAACAAUCACGCAAACAGACAUCAUGGUUCAAUAGCAGGGAAUAUUUUCAAGACAGACUGGGUAUAGUGGCUGCUGUGUCCAUGAUAUUAUCGACCCAUAUUGCGAUACGGAGAAAUAUAUUCGGAGGCAGAGAGUUGAAUUUAUGGAAAUUAGAUAACAAAACUAACAGUCGUGGUUUAUCACUGAUAAAAUCCUUUCUUAACACCAGUGCUGUUAAGGAUUUGCACCAAACACUAAGCGAUACUUUUGGGUAGUAAAAGUCACAGGUUUAUCGGUUCACGGUGAAUAUAAUUGUUUUUUGUGAGGACUAGUCUUCAGCUGAACCUCAUCAUUAUGAUUCUACUAGAGAAGCCAGUCAAAAAAUUAUUAGACAUGAGUCAAAGUUUCAGAAGACAACCUCUGAAAAAUGUGGCUUUAAACAGCAGAAAGAAUGUUAUUGAAAAUUGAAGUAAAGGAUUUGAAAUCAAUUUCUUGAAAAUACUUAGUUUAAAUG